rnacentral:rRNA from 1 species
UGUUACUGCGAAGGGGGGACGGAGAAGGCUAUGUUAGCCGGGCGACGGUUGUCCCGGUUUAAGCAUGUAGGCUGGUUAUCCAGGCAAAUCCGGAUAAUCAAGGCUGAGGUGUGAUGACGAGGCACUACGGUGCUGAAGUAACAAAUGCCCUGCUUCCAGGAAAAGCCUCUAAGCAUCAGGUAACAUCAAAUCGUACCCCAAACCGACACAGGUGGUCAGGUAGAGAAUACCAAGGCGCUUGAGAGAACUCGGGUGAAGGAACUA